rnacentral:misc_RNA from 1 species
AACGCACCUUGCGCUCCUUGGUAUUCCUUGGAGCAUGCCUGUUUGAGUAUCAUGAGCAAAUCUCAAAGUCGAUCCUUUUGUUAAUUCAAUUGGUUUUGCUUUGGACUUGGAGGUCUUUGCAGAUUUCACCAUCUGCUCCUCUUAAAUGUAUUAGCUGGAUCUCAGUAUUUAUGCUUGGUUCCACUCGGCGUGAUAAGUAUCACUCGCUGAGGACACUGGUAAAAAAGGUGGCCAGGAAAAUACUGAUCGAACCGCUUCUAACGGUCUAUUAACUUAGACAAUUACCCUUAAGUUUGAUCUCAAAUCAGGUAGGACUACCCGCUGAACUUAA